GUUAAAGUAUAAAAGGUGGCCUCAGCUACCACCCACUAAUGGACCCACCGCCCACUCGCUAGCUGGUUAGGGAACGGCCCACCCAGGCAACCAAGCAUACCCAACCUGACAGGGUGAUCGGCCACCCUGGGACUGACACACAGCCCACACUCCCACCGGAGGGAGGCGUCGGGAAUCUUCCUCCCUGGACGAAAGUCUGACUGACCGACGCCCCCCGAGUGAUUAAUGUUUUCUGAUCGAAAAGCUCUCUUGGUUGGGAAGAACGAAUACCGUUCGAAUAGGGCGGUACCUUGACGACACCUCCUCAGAAAACCACCGCUGACUACUUCCCGCCAGCCGCCGCAGUACUUCGGUGGGGGCCGUUGUCCGGAAUUAUUGGUGGGCAAGGACUCCCCGGCGGCUUCUUUGUUCGGAUGUUGUUUCCACCCGCUAACCAGGCAGGGUCGCUUCAAACUGUGGGAGAUGUGUGCGCAAAAGAAGAAAGUAAACCCCCGCGUGUCGCUGAGAAACGUAUACAUAUGUGGAAACACACGUGUCGAAGCGAGACUCUCU
rnacentral:rRNA from 1 species